rnacentral:rRNA from 1 species
GAUGAACGCUGGCGGCGUGCCUAACACAUGCAAGUCGAACGGAGUCUCCGCAAGGGGGACUGAGUGGCGCACGGGUGAGGAACACGUAGCUGACCUGCCCUCCAGCGGGGGAUAACGUCCCGAAAGGGAUGCUAAGACCGCAUAAGCUCCCGAGGACUAGACACUCGCGAGAAAAAGCUUCGGCUACUGGGGGAGGGGCGUGCGGCCAUCAGGUAGUUGGUGUGGUAACGGCGCACCAAGCCGACGACGGGUCGGGGAUCUGAGAGGAUGAUCCCCCACACUGGGACUGAGACACGGCCCAGACUCCUACGGGAGGCAGCAGUGAGGGAUAUUGCACAAUGGGCGAAAGCCUGAUGCAGCGACGCCGCGUGGGUGAUGAA